UAUAAACAAGGCAGAUACCCAACAUAAAGAAAUGUUGCUUGUGUAAGUUCCCCACUACUCACUCUGGUUACAUCUCUAAGCAGAUCAAUAUCGCCAGUUUGAGGAAUAAUCAUUUUAUUGGAGAGGAAAGGAAUUCACUUCUGGAAAUGGAUAGUUUGUCAUAUUUGUCGAAUCGAGAGAGAUCAGCUGGCUCCAAGUAUGAUCUGAAAGCUAUCUGGGAGAAGAGAAUUGAAAAGCAGACGGAAUGGAUGGAGCAGGAAAAGAUCAGGUUGAAUAAGAGUGCCCUUAGUAGACUCAUCAAAGAAUGGAACCAAAGGCUUGAAAGCAAAAAAAAGCUGAUGCAAAGCUAUCAUGAAGAUGACAAAAAGAAACCUGUCGU